rnacentral:misc_RNA from 1 species
AACGCAUAUUGCGCCCUUUGGUAUUCCGAAGGGCAUGCCUGUUCGAGCGUCAUUACACCCCUCAAGCCUAGGCUUGAUGUUGGGCAUUGCUGUAGAGCAUGUCUAAAAGACAGUGACGGUUCCCUUUAACCGCUGGUGCAUAGGCGUCGCCAUGCAGGGAGAUGGUAGCCAGUCUGUUAAAUAAAUUUUCUGAAGAUUGACCUCGGAUCAGGUAGGGAUACCCGCUGAACUUAA